CAGUAGAGGACGGAGCUGGACAGUAGAGGACCUUAUGUCUAUUACAGUUUGUGAGGGAGGCGGAGAGGCCAGCCCAGCCUGACGAUGAGGGAGGAGGAGAGGACAGCCCAACCUGACGAUGAGGGAGGAGGAGAGGCCAGCCCAACCUGACGAUGAGGGAGGCGGAGAGGCCAGCCCAACCUGAGUCGCUACACGGUAGCAUCCAUAAUACGGACAUUUAGACUGGAGAACAGACGACUUCCCGUGGGUGGAAGACAACGUCUGUUCACCAUCAACAGGAACUGGCCGUCGUCAACCUAGUGUUGACAAACACCGCCAUCCGCCCACAUCAACUCUGAGAGAGCAAAUCAUCGCAGAUCACACAACAUUCCGUAUGUCGACAGUCUGCCGCAUCUUGCGUCAACACCAACUUACGAUGAAUCGGUUGUCCAGGGUUCCAUUUGAGAGGAACAGCGUAAGAGUCAAAGACACCUUCGCUGUGACUAUGUGCAAACGCCUGUAUGAGAACAUUGAAAAGGUAUACAAAGUACUGAAGAAAGCCAAAUUCCAGGACAAGUGUGUAAGCAAACGCAAAAAAUUAACUCA